rnacentral:lncRNA from 1 species
CUUCUGUUUCCACCGCCGUAACUGUCAUACACAGGUCUUCCAUAGUAACCAUCAUAUUGUAUGUAUGGGGCAGGCCCACCGCCAUAACCAUUGUAGCAUGGCCCACCUGGAUGCCCCUGGUAACAAUCCAUACAACACGCGUUUACUUGGACAGGCGGUGGGUACCCUGGCACAACAGGACCCGGCUGCACUGGAGGAGGAGAAGGCUUCACUGGCUCAGCCGGUGGCGGUGCAGGUUUUGGCGGUUUCACUGGCUCCGCUGGUGGCGGUGCAGGUUUAGGAUUUUCAGGUUCCUUGGGUUUAUCUGCCGGUUUAGGUUUUUCAGGCUCUUUGGGUUUCUCUGCCGGUUUAGGUUUUUCAGGCUCUUUGGGUUUCUCAGUCGUCGGUUUAGGUUUUUCGGGCACUUUGGGUUUCUCUGCCGGUUUAGGUUUUUCGGGCUCUUUGGGUUUCUCGGCCGGUGGUGGCUUGGGCUUCUCUGGCUCUUUGAUCUCAAUGCUUUUUAUGGCACCUCCACCUUUGCAGCAAAUCUUGUCCCUUAUCUUUUCUGGACUACAGCAUACCACUUUGAUCACCACUUG